rnacentral:lncRNA from 1 species
UACUGCUACCCUCCCCUGCAUAGUCCUGAUUUUUCUCGUCAAAAUAAUAUUCAUCUGGAAUAUAAUCAUCUAUGUCUUGUGGACAUGGGUCUUCAAGUACUUCAAGAGUACUUUGUGCUGCUUUUUGUGCAUCAUCCUCCUCUUCCACCCCAAGGGUGACUGGGGAAUAGAAAUAUGGUCACUUGGUCUUCUCCCGACCGGCAGUAAAACGCUUGCCGAAGUGGGGCGUCCGUUUGGCUGUGCGGGAUGUAUCAAGUUCGCAGUCGCGUCCGGUCAGAAGGGGGACGUUAAAUCCGAUGCCUCGUGUGAAGAGAGUGCCACGCUCUUUGCACGUUAAGAACCCUUGCAACAACUCUUUGAGGGGUCCGUAGGUGGCCUGUUGCAAGGUAAAAUUUCUGUCCCUAUCCAAUAUACCCUCAUUUUCCAGUGGCAGUCAAAAUUUCCCCGACCAUCAUCCCAGAUGGCCUGUAUUAUAUCAACCUACCUAUUGUUCUCGUCCUGAAUAUGCAUGAAAUAUUUGCAACUGGACGUUAAGCAACCAACAAUCAAUCAAUCCUCUUCCUCUUGACCUUGAUUGCUAUUGAUUAUGUCUGUAAAAUACCAAAAUGAUAAAAUAAAUAAUAAAGUUUCCCACCUGCUCGAUUUGAUUGAAUUAAUCUAUAAAAUGUAAGAGCUGUAAAGUGAAAUGUGAUGCUUUCUUUCUCAGUUUUAGGGUGAUCUUGACAUGCGAGUAAACAGGAGUAUGAGAGACAAUAGAGGGUUCACAUAAGAACAUUUCAAUUACAUCAAGUGAUUUUAGUUGUACAUGUACAGGUAUUUAUUCAUGUGUUUUGAACAGCUACAACACAUAUUUUAAAUUGUGAUACAGGGGUCAUAAUUAUUCCUUGUCUGGUGGUCUAGGACCAGUAGAACUUGCAUCGGAUUCAGACCGUCUAGCAGAUUUUGUAAGCUGGUAAACCAGUUGAAAUUUGACAAUUACACUGCUGUUUGCAUGUCAAUCACGCUUUGAGUACCUGCAAACUCAAUUGCACAGUACUAGGGAUAUUCACAAUUUUUCAAAUUACUCAUAAUUUCAGAUGAGGAUCCCUCUGACAGUACAACAACAAUUGUGGAAGGUUUCAAACCGCCUGAUAAUAAAAUUACAGAAGUUGAUGAAUAAAAAGAAGAUAGAAAUAAAGCCCAUCAAAAUGGAAAAAAAGUCGAAAAAUUUCAGAAAUCAUGGCAAAUGGAUCAUAAGUGCUGCUUUAGAAUGUGGAUCAAAAUUUUAUGAAUUGAACCACCUGUGAAAAAUUUGCUUUGACGGAAAAUGACAAACAAUCGGUUUUUGUAAAUUGAUCCAUCAAUUUUAAAUGAAGGAUGGAAAGGAAAUAACUAAUUAGCACCCAAAGUAACUAGCCAAUAAACUAACUUAUUUUAGUCAGUACAAAAUCCAAUACGAAAGGAUCAUUGCUGAAAUACAUGGACAUAGCAAAAAUUAAACAAAAAAGAGACAGCAAUUCUGUGAUUUAUAAAAACAAUAGACAAAACACACACAUCAAUUAUGCAUUUAUUCCAACUGAUGAAUUUCUGUUUAUGAUACAUUUGUCUUUAUAAAUAAGAAAUCUGUUGAGAGCAUCAGUCUUCGUAGACUUCAUUGAAGUCGAGUCUUCAAUUUUAAAUGAAGGAUGGAAAGGAAAUAACUAAUAAGCAC